UAAGGAAUAUUGGUCAAUGGACGCAAGUCUGAACCAGCCAUGCCGCGUGAAGGAUGAAGGUCCUCUGGAUUGUAAACUUCUUUUAUCUGGGACGAAAACGGGAUUUUUAUCUCAAUUGACGGUACCAGAGGAAUAAGCACCGGCUAACUCCGUGCCAGCAGCCGCGGUAAUACGGAGGGUGCGAGCGUUAUCCGGAUUUACUGGGUUUAAAGGGUGCGUAGGUGGGCUUAUAAGUCAGUGGUGAAAUCUCCGAGCUUAACUUGGAAACUGCCGUUGUUACUAUAGGUCUUGAAUUAUCUGGAGGUAAGCGGAAUAUGUCAUGUAGCGGUUAAAUGCUUAGAUAUGACAUAGAACACCAAUUGCGAAGGCAGCUUACUACAUAUAAAUUGACGCUGAGGCACGAAAGCGUGGGGAUCAAACA
rnacentral:rRNA from 1 species